rnacentral:misc_RNA from 1 species
UGGUUCUGGCAUCGAUGAAGAACGCAGCGAAAUGCGAUAAGUAGUGUGAAUUGCAGAAUUCAGUGAAUCAUCGAAUCUUUGAACGCACAUUGCGCCCUUUGGUAUUCCUUAGGGCAUGCCUGUUCGAGCGUCAUUAGACCCUCCUCACGGCACCCUGUGUGCCUGGCUAUUGGGCGCCUGUCCCCCGCCCCCGGGCGGGGACUCGCCUCGAAUCCAUUGGCGGCCGCCGCGUCGGGCAGUACGAGCGCAGCAGAAGCGCGCAUCGGGGCCCCGCCGCGCCGGCGACCCAGCGAGAACGCCUCCUCUUUGACCUCGGAUCAGGUAGGGAUACCCGCUGA